GGAAGGAUCAUUACAUAAAACCCGGCGCUUUGUCGUCCGGCUCUUUUCUUGUCUAUGCGUACUCUUGUUUCCUUGGCAAGUUGAGGUUUCCUGGCUUGCCAUUAGGAGAAACUAUAAACCUUUUGUAAUAGCAUGUAUUGUCUGAUAACAUACGAAAUUGUUACAACUUUCAACAAUGGAUCUCUUGGUUCUGGCAUCGAUGAAGAACGCAGCGAAAUGCGAUAAGUAGUGUGAAUUGCAGAAUUCAGUGAAUCAUCGAAUUUUUGAACGCAUAUUGCGCCCUAUGGUAUCCCAUAGGGCAUGCCUGUUCGAGCGUCAUUUAAAAAGGUGAAAAUCUGACUUGGAAAUACAAAAAUGACUUAUCUAUUGGGCGUUUGUCUCUCUGUAGUUGACUCGCCUUAAUCUUAUUGGCAACAGUUAUACCAACUUUUUGCGCAGCAGUUCGCGUGUAUAGGUAAUGGGUAACUAGCAUCCAUAAAGCAUUAUAUGCUCCGACCUCGAAUCAGGUAGGGAUACCCGCUGAACUUAAGCAUAUCAAUAAGCGGAGGAAAAGAAACCAACUGGGAUUGCCCUAGUAACGGCGAGUGAAGCGGCAAUAGCUCAAAUUUGAAAUCCAGCUCAAAAAGAGCUCGAGUUGUAAUUUGCAGAGGGUGCUUUGGUGUUGAUAGCGGUCUAAGUUCCUUGGAACAGGACAUCGCAGAGGGUGAGAAUCCCGUAUGUGGUCGCAUAUCUUCGCCGUGUAAAGCCCCUUCAACGAGUCGAGUUGUUUGGGAAUGCAGCUCUAAGUGGGAGGUAAAUUUCUUCUAAAGCUAAAUACUGGCCAGAGACCGAUAGCGCACAAGUAGAGUGAUCGAAAGAUGAAAAGCACUUUGGAAAGAGAGUUAAAUAGCACGUGAAAUUGUUGAAAGGGAAGCGCUUACAGCGAGACUUGCCUGUAGUUGCUCAUCUGGGCUUUGGCCACAGAGCAUUCUUCUACAGGCAGGCCAGCAUCAGUUUAGGCGGCUGGAAAAUGGCCUCUGUCAUGUAUCUUCCUUUUUAGGAUGACCUUAUAGGGGAGGCGUAGUGCAGCCAGUCUAGACUGAGGUCCGCGCAAAUUUGCUAGGAUGCUGGCGUAAUGGCCGUAAGCGGCCCGUCUUGAAACACGGACCAAGGAGUCUAACAUCUAUGCGAGUGUUUGGGUGUUAAGCCCAGGCGCGCAAUGAAAGUGAACGGAGGUGGGAACCCAAUUGGGUGCACUAUCGACCGAUCCUGAUGUCUUCGGAUGGAUUUGAGUAAGAGCAUAGCUGUUGGGACCCGAAAGAUGGUGAACUAUGCUUGAAUAGGGUGAAGCCAGAGGAAACUCUGGUGGAGGCUCGCAGCGGUUCUGACGUGCAAAUCGAUCGUCAAAUUUGGGCAUAGGGGCGAAAGACUAAUCGAACUAUCUAGUAGCUGGUUCCUGC
rnacentral:misc_RNA from 1 species